UCAAGCUACUAAGGGCAUACGGUGGAUGCCUAGGCGCCAAGAGCCGAAGAAGGACGCGGUAAGCUGCGAAAAGCCACGGGGAACUGCAAGCAAGUAUUGAUCCGUGGAAAUCCGAAUGGGGAAACCCGGCCAUCGUCAUGGAUGGUCACCCGCAAGGGAGGGAACCUGGGGAACUGAAACAUCUAAGUACCCGGAGGAAGAGAAAUCAAACGAGAUGCCCACAGUAGCGGCGAGCGAAGAGGGCAGAGCCCAAACCGAGAAGCUCCGGCUUUUCGGGGUUGAGGACCGGCAGAAUCGAAGUCAGGCCUAGUCGAAUUACCUGGAAAGGUAAGCGAGAGAGGGUAAAAGCCCCGUAGACGAAAGGCAGAGCAGAGAGGCCGAGAUCCAGAGUACCACGAAGCACGAGGAAUUUUGUGGGAAGCAGGGGGGACCACCCUCCAAGGCUAAAAACUACUUGGCGACCGAUAGCGCAUAGUACCGUGAGGGAAAGGUGAAAAGAACCCCGGGAGGGGAGUGAAAUAGUACCUGAAACCGUAUGUCUACAAGCAGUCGAAGCGAAAGCGACGGCGUGCCUAUUGAAGAAUGAACCAACGAGUUAUCUGCACUAGCGAGGUUAAGUGGAAGACACGGAGCCGCAGCGAAAGCGAGUCUUAAGAGGGCGCUAGUUAGUGUAGGUAGACCCGAAACCGCAGUGAUCUACCCAUGUCCAGGUUGAAGCGCAGGUAAAAUUGCGUGGAGGACCGAACCGGUGAGCGUUGAAAAGCUUUCGGAUGAGAUGUGGGUAGGGGUGAAAUUCCAAUCGAACGCGGAGAUAGCUGGUUCUCCCCGAAAUAGCUUUAGGGCUAGCCUGAGGUAGUAAGUAUAGGCGGUAGAGCACUGAUCGGGCUAGGGGCCGUAAAGGUUACCGAACCCUGUCAAACUCCGAAUGGAUAUACUGUAGAGCCUUGGAGUCAGACUACGAGUGAUAAGAUCCGUGGUCAAAAGGGAAACAGCCCAGACCACCAGCUAAGGUCCCCAAUGUCGUACUAAGUGGAAAAGGAUGUGGGGUUUCAUAAACAACCAGGAUGUUGGCUCAGAAGCAGCCACCAUUUAAAGAGUGCGUAAUAGCUCACUGGUCGAGAGACCCUGCGCCGAAGAUUCCCGGGGCUAAAGUACGAAACCGAAGCUGUGGCUGUAUACGUAAAGUAUACGGGGUAGGGGAGCGUUCCCAUAGGGUAGAAGUCGAACUGGAAGGUUCGGUGGACUUGUGGGAAGUGAGAAUGUUGGUAUGAGUAGCGAAAAGAAAGGUGAGAAUCCUUUCCACCGAAAGCAUAAGGAUUCCUGAGCAACGAUCGUCGUCUCAGGGUAAGUCGGGACCUAAUCCGAGGCAGAGAGCGUAGGAGAUGGACAACUGGUUGAUAUUCCAGUACCGGUAGUAAUUGUUUGAGCAAUGGAGUGACACAGAAGGGCAGGCAAGCAUGCGAAUGGAAGAGCAUGUGUAAGCGUGUAGGGUGGUGCAUAGGCAAAUCCGUGCACUGAAAGCCUGAGGCGUGAUGCGGAGUGAGCAGAGAUGCGAGCGAAGUUGUUGACCCCACACUGUCGAGAAAAGCUUCUAGUGAGAGAGCUACCGCCCGUACCGUAAACCGACACAGGUAUGCGGGGAGAGAAUCCUAAGGUGCGCGGGAGAACCCUCGUUAAGGAACUCGGCAAAAUGUACCCGUAACUUCGGGAUAAGGGUAGCCACUGUUGUGAAGUCCCAUGCGGAUGGAGCAUAGAGUGGUCGCAGAGAAGAGGCCCAAGCGACUGUUUACCAUAAACACAGGUGCCUGCUAAAGCGAAAGCUGACGUAUAGGUGCUGACACCUGCCCAGUGCCGGAAGGUUAAGGAAGGAUGUUCGGAUUAGUCCAAAGCAUUCGACUGAAGCCCCGGUGAACGGCGGCCGUAACUAUAACGGUCCUAAGGUAGCGAAAUUCCUUGUCGGGUAAGUUCCGACCCGCACGAAAGGUGUAACGAUUUGGGCACUGUCUCAACGAGGGACCCGGUGAAAUUGAAAUACCUGUGAAGAUGCAGGUUACCCGCGACUGGACAGAAAGACCCCAUGGAGCUUUACUGUAACCUGACAUUGGGUUUUGAUACAUUACGUACAGGAUAGGUGGGAGGCUUGGAAAGCUGGACGCUAGUCUGGCUGGAGCCGACGUUGGGAUACCACCCUUGAUGUAUUGAAAUUCUAACCGCGAGAGUAACGAAAUCCGGGACAGUGUCAGGCGGGCAGUUUGACUGGGGCGGUCGCCUCCGAAAGAGUAACGGAGGCGCCCAAAGGUUCCCU
rnacentral:rRNA from 1 species